GACGAACGCUGGCGGCGCGCUUAACACAUGCAAGUCGAGCGAGAACCCUGGAGCUUGCUCCGGGGGGACAGCGGCGAACGGGUGAGUAACACGUGAGGAACCUGCCCCGAAGACCGGGAUAACACCGGGAAACCGGUGCUAAUACCGGAUGCCCUCACCGGACCGCAUGAUCUGGUGAGGAAAUGGAUUCCGCUUCGGGAUGGCCUCGCGGCCUAUCAGCUUGUUGGUGGGGUAACGGCCUACCAAGGCUCCGACGGGUAGCUGGUCUGAGAGGAUGUCCAGCCACACUGGGACUGAGACACGGCCCAGACUCGUACGGGAGGCAGCAGUGGGGAAUCUUGCGCAAUGGGCGAAAGCCUGACGCAGCGACGCCGCGGGCGGGAUGACGGCCUUCGGGUUGUAAACCGCUUUCAGCAGGGACGAUUGUGACGGUACCUGCAGAAGAAGCCCCGGCCAACUACGUGCCAGCAGCCGCCGUAA
rnacentral:rRNA from 1 species